rnacentral:tRNA from 1 species
GGGCCUGUGGUCUAGCGGCUAUGACACCUCCCUUACACGGAGUUGAUCGAGGGUUCGAGUCCCUCCAGGCCCACCA